rnacentral:lncRNA from 1 species
UUUGAAUUUUUUUAUAUAGCUUUUUAUUUUAUUUUAUCGUUAUUUAAUUUACUUUUAUGUAUAUCACCCGUAAAGCAACCGUUCGAGGUAAGUGCUAGAUCUUUGGACACUUAAACUCCCUGAGCGGCAAAACGAAGAUGAAGAAAGUGAUGGUUUAUCAAAAUCCGCCAAUUUCGCCUUUUGAUUAUUUGUACAUAUAUAAAAAUAAAUGAAAACAACAAAG